CCUACGGGGGGCUGCAGUGGGGAAUAUUGGACAAUGGGGGCAACCCUGAUCCAGCCAUGCCGCGUGUGUGAAGAAGGCCCUCGGGUUGUAAAGCACUUUCAGUGAGGAAGAACGCCUGGUGGUUAAUACCCAUCAGGAAAGACAUCACUCACAGAAGAAGCACCGGCUAACUCCGUGCCAGCAGCCGCGGUAAUACGGAGGGUGCGAGCGUUAAUCGGAAUUACUGGGCGUAAAGCGCGCGUAGGUGGCUUGAUAAGCCGGUUGUGAAAGCCCCGGGCUCAACCUGGGAACGGCAUCCGGAACUGUCAAGCUAGAGGGCAGGAGAGGAAGGUAGAAUUCCCGGUGUAGCGGUGAAAUGCGUAGAGAUCGGGAGGAAUACCAGUGGCGAAGGCGGCCUUCUGGACUGACACUGACAAUGAGGUGCGAAAGCGUGGGUAGCAAACAGGAUUAGAUACCCUAGUAGUC
rnacentral:rRNA from 1 species